UACGUAGGGUGCAAGCGUUGUCCGGAAUUAUUGGGCGUAAAGAGCUCGUAGGCGGUCUGUCACGUCGGCUGUGAAAACCCGAGGCUCAACCUCGGGCCUGCAGUCGAUACGGGCAAACUAGAGUGUUGCAGGGGAGACUGGAAUUCCUGGUGUAGCGGUGAAAUGCGCAGAUAUCAGGAGGAACACCGGUGGCGAAAGCGGCGCACUGGACCACAACUGACGCUGAGGCGCGAAAGCGAGGGGAGCAAACAGG
rnacentral:rRNA from 1 species